rnacentral:rRNA from 1 species
GACGAACGCUGGCGGCAUGCCUAAUACAUGCAAGUCGAACGAGACCUUCGGGUCUAGUGGCGCACGGGUGCGUAACGCGUGGGAAUCUGCCCUUGGGUUCGGAAUAACUUCGGGAAACUGAAGCUAAUACCGGAUGAUGACGAAAGUCCAAAGAUUUAUCGCCCAGGGAUGAGCCCGCGUAGGAUUAGCUAGUUGGUGGGGUAAAGGCCUACCAAGGCGACGAUCCUUAGCUGGUCUGAGAGGAUGAUCAGCCACACUGGGACUGAGACACGGCCCAGACUCCUACGGGAGGCAGCAGUGGGGAAUAUUGGACAAUGGGCGAAAGCCUGAUCCAGCAAUGCCGCGUGAGUGAUGAAGGCCUUAGGGUUGUAAAGCUCUUUUACCCGGGAUGAUAAUGACAGUACCGGGAGAAUAAGCUCCGGCUAACUCCGUGCCAGCAGCCGCGGUAAU